AUUGAACGCUGGCGGCAGGCCUAACACAUGCAAGUCGAGCGGAUGAGGGUAGCUUGCUACCUGAUUCAGCGGCGGACGGGUGAGUAAUGCCUAGGAAUCUGCCCGAUAGUGGGGGACAACGUUUCGAAAGGAACGCUAAUACCGCAUACGUCCUACGGGAGAAAGUGGGGGAUCUUCGGACCUCACGCUAUCGGAUGAGCCUAGGUCGGAUUAGCUAGUUGGUGAGGUAAUGGCUCACCAAGGCUACGAUCCGUAACUGGUCUGAGAGGAUGAUCAGUCACACUGGAACUGAGACACGGUCCAGACUCCUACGGGAGGCAGCAGUGGGGAAUAUUGGACAAUGGGCGAAAGCCUGAUCCAGCCAUGCCGCGUGUGUGAAGAAGGUCUUCGGAUUGUAAAGCACUUUAAGUUGGGAGGAAGGGCUAUAGGCUAAUAUCCUGCAGUUUUGACGUUACCAGCAGAAUAAGCACCGGCUAACUUCGUGCCAGCCGCCGCAGUAA
rnacentral:rRNA from 1 species